rnacentral:tRNA from 1 species
UUGGACUAUGGUUGAGGUUGUUACCUUCAGAGAAGAGUUCAUUGGGAGUUUUAAA